UACGUAGGCAGCGAGCGUUGUUCGGAGUUACUGGGCGUAAAGGGUGUGUAGGCGGUUGUUUAAGUUUGGGGUGAAAUCUCCCGGCUCAACUGGGAGGGUGCGCCGAAUACUGAAUGACUUGGAGUGCGGGAGAGGAGAGUGGAAUUCCUGGUGUAGCGGUGAAAUGCGCAGAUAUCAGGAGGAACACCAAUGGCGAAGGCAGCUCGCUGGGACGGUACUGACGCUGAGACGCGAAAGCGUGGGGAGCAAACAGG
rnacentral:rRNA from 1 species